AACUGCAAUUCUCUCUCUCUCGACGAAACGCAACGCAACGCAGCUGCGUCUCGCCGCUUUUCAGCAAGCUAUAACCUUUGCCAUUUUCCGCCAUUCCUCUCGCCUCUGUUACCUUUCAUCCACAACAGGACAUCAGGAAAGUCGUCGCAGUUAACUCUGCUUUUUUAUCUAUUUUCACCAGCCACAUCAUAGAGUCGCGACGUCACGGGUGACCACUGUAGCAGUCCAACGCCUUGCAGAGCUAUUUGACCGGUGAUGUCCGGCAAAAAAAGCCACCACUCCCUCCCCAGUCAAUCAAUACAGAAACUAACAUCUCCAUCUCUUAUUUAUUUUAUUUUUUUCUAUUUUGGUCUCUUUAUAUUCUUAAAUAAUUUCUUAAUUUUUCUGAAAUGGGUUUUGAUGUGUGUUUAUAGGUGAAGUUUGGAGGUUAUACAGAAGCUUAUGAAUUUUGCAGAAAACUAUAAUUUUUGGUGAUUGCCCGAAUGUGUUCAACAAUUGUGAUAACAAAACCCAAGGAUCCUUAACCACACACAAGCAAGAUGGUGAAUAAAUCAGAUUGGUUCUUAAGAAUGAACUUGCUCAAAUGGUCUUGCAUAGCAACAAGGAGGAACAAUAGCACAAAGCUGAAAAAGAGAUUCGCAGCAUGGUCCAAGAAGAGCUAUUUUGAAAAGAAAAACAAUGCUUUUGGAGUGGGUUAUAAAGACAACAUGGAACUGCAAGAGUUGAGUAUAUAUGUUUUAAGUUUUGUCUGUUGUUUAUCAGCAUGUUGAUCACUGAAUUGGAAAACAGAACCUGCCCCUCUGGCCUAUAUCAUGCAUUAGUUGAAGUCUUUUAACACAUUAUCAGAUUCAAUUUACAUAAGUGUAAUAUCCCAAAUUUUCUUCUCCAUUUUAUAAAUUUAAGAUUUUCUCUCUUACUUAUGACAAAUUAAUUGUAGAAGUAGGCCACUAAUAUUCAAU